rnacentral:rRNA from 1 species
UACGUAGGGACCGAGCGUUGUCCGGAUUCAUUGGGCGUAAAGAGCUCGUAGGCGGCUGCUCAAGUCGAAUGUGAAACCUCGAGGCUUAACCUCGAGCCUGCAUUCGAUACUGGGCGGCUAGAGUCUGGUAGGGGGAUCUGGAAUUCCUGGUGUAGCGGUGGAAUGCGCAGAUAUCGGGAGGAACACCAGUGGCGAAGGCGGCUUCCUGGCCUGUUCUUGACGCUGAGGCGCGAAAGCUAGGGGAGCAAACGGG